rnacentral:rRNA from 1 species
AAGGCUAAAUACUCCUGACUGACCGAUAGUGAACCAGUACCGUGAGGGAAAGGCGAAAAGAACCCCGGCGAGGGGAGUGAAAAAGAACCUGAAACCGUGUACGUACAAGCAGUGGGAGCACCCUUCGGGGUGUGACUGCGUACCUUUUGUAUAAUGGGUCAGCGACUUAUAUUCUGUAGCAAGGUUAACCGAAUAGGGGAGCCGCAGGGAAACCGAGUCUUAACCGGGCGUUAAGUUGCAGGGUAUAGACCCGAAACCCGGUGAUCUAGCCAUGGGCAGGUUGAAGGUUGGGUAACACUAACUGGAGGACCGAACCGACUAAUGUUGAAAAAUUAGCGGAUGACCUGUGGCUGGGGGUGAAAGGCCAAUCAAACCGGGAGAUAGCUGGUUCUCCCCGAAAGCUAUUUAGGUAGCGCCUCGUGAAUUCAUCUCCGGGGGUAGAGCACUGUUUCGGCUAGGGGGCCAUCCCGGCUUACCAACCCGAUGCAAACUGCGAAUACCGGAGAAUGUUAUCACGGGAGACACACGGCGGGUGCUAACGUCCGUCGUGAAGAGGGAAACAACCCAGACCGCCAGCUAAGGUCCCAAAGUCAUGGUUAAGUGGGAAACGAUGUGGGAAGGCCCAGACAGCCAGGAUGUUGGCUUAGAAGCAGCCAUCAUUUAAAGAAAGCGUAAUAGCUCACUGGUCGAGUCGGCCUGCGCGGAAGAUGUAACGGGGCUAAACCAUGCACCGAAGCUGCGGCAGCGACGCUGAUGCGUUGUUGGGUAGGGGAGCGUUCUGUAAGCCUGUGAAGGUGGCCUGUGAGGGUUGCUGGAGGUAUCAGAAGUGCGAAUGCUGACAUAAGUAACGAUAAAGCGGGUGAAAAGCCCGCUCGCCGGAAGACCAAGGGUUCCUGUCCAACGUUAAUCGGGGCAGGGUGAGUCGACCCCUAAGGCGAGGCCGAAAGGCGUAGUCGAUGGGAAACGGGUUAAUAUUCCCGUACUUGGUGUUACUGCGAAGGGGGGACGGAGAAGGCUAUGUUGGCCGGGCGACGGUUGUCCCGGUUUAAGCGUGUAGGUGUGUGUUCCAGGUAAAUCCGGUUCACUUUAACACUGAGGCGUGACGACGAGGCACUACGGUGCUGAAGCAACAAAUGCCCUGCUUCCAGGAAAAGCCUCUAAGCAUCAGGUAACAUCAAAUCGUACCCCAAACCGACACAGGUGGUCAGGUAGAGAAUACCAAGGCGCUUGAGAGAACUCGGGUGAAGGAACUAGGCAAAAUGGUGCCGUAACUUCGGGAGAAGGCACGCUGACACGUAGGUGAAGUGAUUUACUCAUGGAGCUGAAGUCAGUCGAAGAUACCAGCUGGCUGCAACUGUUUAUUAAAAACACAGCACUGUGCAAACACGAAAGUGGACGUAUACGGUGUGACGCCUGCCCGGUGCCGGAAGGUUAAUUGAUGGGGUCAGCGCAAGCGAAGCUCCUGAUCGAAGCCCCGGUAAACGGCGGCCGUAACUAUAACGGUCCUAAGGUAGCGAAAUUCCUUGUCGGGUAAGUUCCGACCUGCACGAAUGGCGUAAUGAUGGCCAGGCUGUCUCCACCCGAGACUCAGUGAAAUUGAACUCGCUGUGAAGAUGCAGUGUACCCGCGGCAAGACGGAAAGACCCCGUGAACCUUUACUAUAGCUUGACACUGAACAUUGAGCCUUGAUGUGUAGGAUAGGUGGGAGGCUUUGAAGUGUGGACGCCAGUCUGCAUGGAGCCGACCUUGAAAUACCACCCUUUAAUGUUUGAUGUUCUAACGUGGACCCGUUACCCGGGUUGCGGACAGUGUCUGGUGGGUAGUUUGACUGGGGCGGUCUCCUCCUAAAGAGUAACGGAGGAGCACGAAGGUUGGCUAAUCCUGGUCGGACAUCAGGAGGUUAGUGCAAUGGCAUAAGCCAGCUUGACUGCGAGCGUGACGGCGCGAGCAGGUGCGAAAGCAGGUCAUAGUGAUCCGGUGGUUCUGAAUGGAAGGGCCAUCGCUCAACGGAUAAAAGGUACUCCGGGGAUAACAGGCUGAUACCGCCCAAGAGUUCAUAUCGACGGCGGUGUUUGGCACCUCGAUGUCGGCUCAUCACAUCCUGGGGCUGAAGUAGGUCCCAAGGGUAUGGCUGUUCGCCAUUUAAAGUGGUACGCGAGCUGGGUUUAGAACGUCGUGAGACAGUUCGGUCCCUAUCUGCCGUGGGCGCUGGAGAACUGAGGGGGGCUGCUCCUAGUACGAGAGGACCGGAGUGGACGCAUCACUGGUGUUCGGGUUGUCAUGCCAAUGGCACUGCCCGGUAGCUAAAUGCGGAAGAGAUAAGUGCUGAAAGCAUCUAAGCACGAAACUUGCCCCGA